AAGCGUCGUAAGUUGAAUUUCGGGGUUAGUAGGUUGGUCAUGCCUCUGGUAUGUACUGGUCUCACUGAUUCCUCCUUCCUUAUGAACCGUAAUGCCAUUAAUUUGGUGUUGCGGGGAAUUUGGACUGUUACUUUGAAAAAAUUAGAGUGUUUAAAGCAAGCUAACGCUUGAAUACAUUAGCAUGGAAUAAUGAAAUAGGACGUUCGAUCUUAUUUUGUUGGUUUCUAGGAUUGACGUAAUGAUUAAUAGGGAUAGUUGGG
rnacentral:rRNA from 1 species